UUAAACUGAAGAGUUUGAUCCUGGCUCAGAUUGAACGCUGGCGGCAUGCCUAACACAUGCAAGUCGAACGGUAACAGGGGCUUCGGCCCGCUGACGAGUGGCGGACGGGUGAGUAACGCGUAGGAAUCUACCCAGUAGCGGGGGAUAGCUCGGGGAAACUCGGAUUAAUACCGCAUACGUCCCUUAUCAUAUUGAUAAGGGGGAAAGCAGGGGAUCUUUUAGACCUUGCACUAUUGGAUGAGCCUACGUCUGAUUAGCUAGUUGGUAGAGUAAAAGCCUACCAAGGCAACGAUCAGUAGCUGGUCUGAGAGGACGAUCAGCCACACUGGGACUGAGACACGG
rnacentral:rRNA from 1 species